rnacentral:rRNA from 1 species
CAGUAGCCACGGGAAUACAGAGGGUGCGAGCGUUAAUCGGAUUUACUGGGCGUAAAGCGUGCGUAGGCGGCUAAUUGAGUCGGAUGUGAAAUCCGAGCUUAACUUGGGAAUUGCAUUCGAUACUGGUUAGCUAGAGUGUGGGAGAGGAUGGUAGAAUUCCAGGUGUAGCGGUGAAAUGCGUAGAGAUCUGGAGGAAUACCGAUGGCGAAGGCAGCCAUCUGGCCUAACACUGACGCUGAGGUACGAAAGCAUGGGGAGCAAACAGGAUUAGAUACCCCCGUAGUCCCUGUCUCUUAUACAC